AAAAAAAAAAAAAAAAAAAAAAAACUCUGCUCCCCAAGUGCUCUGGGAGACUGAUUUAAUAAUAAAACUCCAGUCUCCCGCACAGCCGGCUCUGUGUGAAUUACUCUUUCUCUGUUGCAAUUCCCCCAUCUUGAGGAAUUGGCUCUGUCUAGGCAGGGGGCAAGGUGAACCCCUUAGGCGGUUACACUAGGAGCCUUUUAGAAAUGCAAAUUCUACUCACUGAAGACCUAUGAUAUCAGGAUAUCAGAUACUCUGGGGCUGACCCCAGUAAUCUGUAUUAAGUUCUCCAGGAGAUUUCUGAUGCAAAGGAAAGUUGUGGAAGCCACUAGUCAAGAAACAGCUUCCUUACGUAAGCUUUCUUCUGAGCAUUUUGUUUCUCCUGAUUCCUUUUGGUAUAUAAUAGCACUAAAUGUUUUUCUCCCAAACCCCCACCGAUUUAGGAUGCUUCCUUUAUCUUAAGUUUUAUAAACAUUCAGAUUUGCCUCUGUGCUUUCAUUCUUUUUUAACAGCUUUAUGAGAUAAAAUUCGCAUACCAUAAGAUUCACCCAUUUAAAGUAUACAACAGUAAGGGGAGCCAGGCAUGGUGGCUCAUGCCUGUGAAUCCCAGCACUUUGGGAGGCUGAGGGUGGAUCACUUGAGUUCAGGAGUUCAAGACCAGUCUGGCCAACAUGGUGAAACCCUGUCUCUACCAAAAAUACAAAAACUAGCCAGGUGUGGUGGCACACGCCUAUAGUCCCAGCUACUCAGGAGGCUGAGUCAUGAGAAUCGUUUGAACCCGGGAGGUGGAGGUUGUAGUGAGCCAGAUCUCACCACUGCACUCCAGCCUGGGUGACAGAGCCAGACUCCAUCUCAAAAAAAAAAAAAAAAAAAAGUGUACACAACAAUUUGGGGACUUUCAGUAUAUUCAGACUCGUGCCAACAUCACAGUGUUCCCACAUUCUGAUUUUAGUCAUUUGCAUCUUCUCUUUUGUUCCUGGUGAGUCUAACUAAAGGGUUGCCAAUUUUGUUGAUCUUUUCAAAGAACUAACUUACUAUUUCACAGAUUUUUCUCCACUGUUUCCUUUUCUGUAUUUCAUUUAUUUCCACUCUAAUGUUUAUUAUUUUCUUCAUUCUGUUUGCUUUGAGUUUCAUUUGCUCUUCUUUUUCUAGUUUCUUAAGGUAGAAUGUUAGAUUAUUGAUUUGAGAUAUAUCUUCUUUUCAAUGUAAGCAUUAACUAUAAAUGUCCCUCUAAGCACUGGUUUAGUAGUAUUCCAUAAAUUUUGGUGUUUUUAUUUUCAUCCAUCUCAAAGUAUUUCCUACUUUCCCUGGAUGAUCUCUUUUUUUGACCUGUUGAUUCUUUAGGAUUUUUAAAAAUGUUUACAUAUUUGUGAAUUUCUUAAAUUUUUUUCUGUGGUUGGUUUCUAAUUUCCUCCCAUUGGUUGCAGAACAUAACUUGUAUAUUUUCAGUCUUUUUUAAUUUACUGAGACUUAUUUUAUGGUCUAACAUAUAGUCUAUCCUGGAAUGUUCCAUGUGCCCUUGAGAAUAAUGUAUUGCUAGAUGGAGUGUUCUGUCAUGUCUAUUAGGUGGAGUUAGUUUAUAGUGUUACCCAAAUCUUCCAUUUCUUGCUGGUCUUCUGACUAGUCCUUCUAUCUAUUAUUGGAAGUGGGGUAUGUAAGUCUCUAUUAUUGUGGUCUUUCUCGUAUACAUUCUGUCAGGUUUCGCUUUAUAUAUUUUGGGGCUCUAUUGUUAGGUGCAUGUAUGUUUAUAAUCAUUAUAUCUUUCUAGUAAAUUGGUCCUCUUAUCAUUUUAAAAUGUUCUUUGUUUUUAGUAGCAAUUUUAUCUUAAAGUCGCUACAUAUUUUUUUCAUGCCUGUAAUCCCAGCACUUUGGGAGCCCAAGGCAGGUAGAUCACAAGGUCAGGAGUGAUGGUGACCAAGAUGGUGAAACUCUGUCUCUACUAAAAAUACAAAAAUUGGCUGGGUGUGGUGGCGUGCACCUAUAAUCCCAGCUACUUGGGAGGCUGAGGCAGGAGAAUUGCUUGACCCAGGAGGUGGUGUUUGCAGUGAGCCAAGAUCGUGCCACUGCACUCUAGCCUGGGUGACAGAAUGAGACUCCAUCUCAAAAAAAAAAAGUCUCUACAUAUUUUUAAUAUUGCUGUAGCCACUCCAGCUCUCUUUUGGUUACUGCUUUCAUGGGAUAUCUUUUUCCUUCCUUUAACUUUCCACCUAUUUGCCUUUGAAUCUAAAGUAUGUCUCUUAUAGACAGCAUAUAGUUGGAUUUUUAAACAAUUUUAUUGUCUUUUUAAAAUUUUAGAUUCAGUGGGUACAUGUGCAGGUUUGUUACAGGGGUAUACAGCAUGAUGCUCAGGUUUGAGGUAUGAUUAAACCCAUCACCCAAGUAGUGAGCAUAGCACUCAACAGGUUUCUCUCAACCCUUGCUUCCCUUCCUCCCUCCCCAGUUUUGUAGACCCCAGGGUCUAUUGUCCCCAUAUUUAUGUCCAUUUGUACCGGUGAAAACAAUGCAGUUAUUGGUUUUCUGUCUCUGCAUCAGUUCACUGAGUAAUGGCCUCCAGCUUCAUUCAUGUUGUUGCAAAGGACAUGAUUUCAUUCUUUUUUUAUGGCUAUGGGGUAUUCCAUGGUAUAUAUGUGCCACAUUUUCUUUUUUUUUUUUUUUUUUUUUUUGAGACUGACUUUUGCUCUUGUCAGCCAGGCUGCAGUGCAGUGGCAUGAUCUCAGCCCACUGCAAUCUCCCACUCCCGGGUUCAAGCGAUUUUCCGCCUUAGCUUCCUGAGUAGCUGGGAUUACAGGUGCCUACCACCACGCCUGGUGAAUUUUUGUAUUUUUAGUAGAGAUGCGGUUUUACCAUGUUGGCCAGGUGGUCUUGAACUCCUGACCUCAGGUGAUCCACCUGCCUCAGCCUCCCAAAGUGCUGGGAUUACAGACAUGAGCCACCAUGCGUGGCCACCACAUUUUCUUUAUCCAGUCCACUGUUGAUGGGCAUCUAGGCUAAUUCCAUGUGGUUUGCUAGGGCAAAUAGUGCUGCAAUGAACAUAGUUAAUCCAUUCUUCCAUCUCUGUCUUUUGAUUGGGGUGUUUAAUCCAUCCACAUACUAUAGUUACCUAUAAGGUAGAAGUAAUGUCUGCAAUUUUUACUACUUCUUUUUUUAAUGUCUUAUGAUUAUGCUCUUCUAUUCCUCCAUUACUGUCAUCUUUUGUAAUCAACAGACAUUUUCCAUUGUAUCUUUUAAAAUUCCUUUGUUAUUUCCUUUGCCAUAUGUAUUUUAAAUGUAUUCUCUUAGUGGUUAGCCUGGGGAUUACAAUUAACAUCUUAAAACAAUCUCUUUUGGAUUCAUAUCCACUUAAUUUCAAUAGUGGCAGUCAAGAGUCACUCCAAUAUACCUUUAUUCUCUCCUCACUCCCUUGUGCUAUUAUUAUCAUACAAAUUACAUCUCUAUAUAUUAUAAGCCCAUCAACACAGUUUUGUAAUUAUUGCUUUAGGCAGCUGUCCUUUAAAACAGAAAAUUUACAAACAAAACUGUUUAUAUUGUCUUUCACCAUACCUACAUAGUUACCCUUACCUCUGCUCUUUAUUUCUUCAUCUGGAUGCAAGUUAAUGUCUGGUGUUCUGGUCGGGCGCAGUGGCUCAUGCCUGUAAUCCCAGCACUUUGGGAAGCCGAGUCGGGUGGAUCACCUGAGGUCAGCAGUUUGAGACCAGCCUGGCCAACAUGCCGAAACCCUGUCUGUACUAAAAAUACAAAAAUUAGCCGGGCGUGGUGGCGUGUGCCUGUAAUCUCAGCUACUCAGGAGGUUGAGGCAGGAGAAUCGCUUGAACCUGGUAGGCAGAGGUUGUAGUGAGCCGAGGUCGCACCACUGCACUGCAGCCUGGGUGACAGAGUGAGACUCUGUCUCAAAAAAAAAAAAAAAAAAUCUGGUGUCCUUUCAUUAAAGCCUGAAAAAACUCCCUUUAGUACUUCUUUUGGGAAGGUUUGCUAAUGACAAAUUCUUUGUUUAUCUGGCAAUGUCUUCAUUUCUCCAUUAAUUCUGAAAAAGGGUUUAACUAGAUAGAACAUUUUUGGCUAACCAUCUAUUUCAUCCUCUCUUCUGGCAUCCAUGUUUUCUGCUGAGAAGUCAACAGCUAAUUUUACUGAAGUUCAUUCGAUAGAUGAUUUUCAGUUUGUGGUGAAAUUCCAGUUUAUUAUCAGAAUUCUAAAAUUGGUUUAUUUUAGAUGUAUUGCGCAUAUUUUCAUUGUUUUAGAGGGAGACAGAGUUCACUGAGGCCCCCACUCUGCCGUUUUGGAACUGAUCUCAUUUCAUUUUAAUUAUUUAGGUAGCAUAUUUUAAUAUAAACCAACUUUCACUUAAUAGUUAUUUUUUCUAAAAUUUCUUAACUAUUGUCUGUUUGGCUAAUUUUUCAGUUGAAUGUUAGAAUCAUUUUCUUAAGCUCCAAAAAGAAAUUCUGAUAGAACUUGGGAUGUUAUUUUGCCAACAGAUCACCUUCUUAGAACAUUCAGGUUUCCCAUUCUCUCCCACUUUUAUACUGUUCAGCAAACUUAAUGAAUGUUUUCAUGUAGAUUGCAUUGUAUUUUCCUUAGACAUUUCAAAUGUUCUGUUGUGACUGUGAACUGGGCUUAAAGUGCUGUUAUUUUAAAUAUGAAUCAAUACAUCAAUAUUUUCUGGGAUGAAAGAAAAACACUCAUCUAUCAAUGAGAAUCAGGAGAUUGAGAUCACGAGGUCAGGAGAUUGAGACCAUCCUGGAUAACACAGUGAAACCCCGUCUCUACUAAAAAUACAAAAAAUUAGCCAGGCGUGGUGGCGGGUGCCUGUGGUCCCAGCUACUGGGGAGGCUGAGGCAGGACAAUGACGUGAACCUGGGAGACGGAGCUUGCAGUGAGCUGAGAUUGUGCCAUUGCACUCCAGCCUGGGCGACAGAGCGAGACUCUGUCUCAAAAAAAAAAAAAAGUUAAUGGAAUCAGGAGGGUUCAUUCUGUAGGUAAGAGGUUUGCUUUUUUUUUUUCUUUGAAACAAUAAAAUAUCUUUGUUCAAUUUAAAUCUUGAGGCCACUCAUGGUGGCUCACACUUAUAAUCACAGCACUUUGGGAGGCUGAGGUGGGCGGAUCACUUGAGGUCAGGAGUUUGAGACUAGCCUGGCCAACAUGGUGAGACCCCCCCCCCCGCCAUCUCUACCAAAAAUACAAAAAUUCACCAGGCAUGGUGAUUUGUGCCUGAAAUCUCAGCUAAUCAGGAGGCUGAGGCAGAGAAUCACUUGAACCCGGGAUGCAGAGGUUGCAGUGAGCUGAGAUCACACCACUGCACUCCAGCCUGGGUGGCAGAGCAAGACUGUCUCAAAAAAAAAAAAAAAAAAAAAAAAAUAUAUAUAUAUAUAUAUAUUAAGCAGGACUUCAAUUCAUAAAAAAGAAAAGCAGACCUGUGUGGUUGAAAAGAGGUUGAGGAGUAGCACAAAGUCCUGCAUGCUCUGCCUCCUUCCUCACUCCUUAGGGCAGCCUCCGAGUUGCUUUCCAACAACUGGAUGCUUUGUUAACUCUCCUGUAUAAGAGCCCAUCUGUGGGCUCCUUAGCAUAAGCUCUUACUUUCUAACACUUCAUCCUACUUGAAAGACUUUUUCCAUCUCUCUUCAGUGACCACUAACACAUCUGUGUCUCAGUAAGACCCUGCUUCACUGACUUGGACCACCUGGCCCUGUCUGUUGCAUUAAGUCAGUCAGCAGAACAGGGGACUGAACAGAAGCUGAAAGAUGUGGCGGGGACCAGGCAUGGUGGUUCACACCUAUAAUCCCAGUGCUUUGGGAGUCUAAGAUGGUAGAAUUGCUUGAGGCCAGGAGUUCAAGACCAGAUUGGGUAACACAGCAAGACCCCAUCUCUACAAAAAAUUGAAAAAUUAGGCAUGGUGGCAUGUGCUGGUGGUCCCAGCUACUUAAGAGACUGAGGUGGGAGGAUUGCUUGAGCCCAGGAGUUUGAGGCUGCAGUGAGCAGUGAUUGCACCGCUGCACUCCAGCCUGGGUGACAGAGUGAGACCCCAUCUGUUAAAGAAAAUUUAAAAACAAAAAACGUUCUUAAAGACCUGGUGACUUGGGCCAAUCGCAGUGGCUCACACCUGUAAUCCCAGCACUCUGGGAGGUCGAGGCGGAUCACUUGAGGUCAGGAGUUCGAGGCCAGCCUGGCCAACAUGGUGAAACCCCAUCUCUACUAAAAAUACAAAAAUUAGCCAGGCGUUCGUGGCGCAUGCCUAUAGUCCUAGCUACUCAGGAGGCUGAGGCAGGAGAAUCACUUGAACCUGAAGGCAGAGGUUGCAGUGAGCCAAGAUCUCACCACUGCACUCCAGCCUGGGCAACAGAGUGAAACUCCAUCUCAAAAAAAAGACCCAGUGACUUCAAGAAAGAUAACACUUCUGUGCUACUUUGUCACUAUCCCAUCUGUGACAUAAUUUUAUAUAUAUAUUUGGUAUUUAGUCUCUGUCCUCGGUACCUGGAACAGAGCUCUUGAAACCCUUGUAAUCUCCUGAGUGCACCCAGCACGGGUGCAGCUUUUAUCCUCAUAUUUGCUUUUUGACCCAGCUCCUGCCAUUGAGCUCCAAAUCUCUUGGAAUGUCCUGGGUUACAGGAGCAUCUUUUGUUCUAAUGAAGUGGGCUUGCUUUUGGUGGGCUCCUGGAUGAGGCUGGCCACCAGAAGGACCGACAUGAUUAGAAGAUUGGAACUUUCAGCCCCACCCCCGAUCUGCUGGGGUGCCUACAUGAUGAAGCUUCCGUAACAACCACUAACUAUGGCACAUAGGGAGCUUCCAGACUGCUAAAUACAUCAACAUGCUGGGAGGGUGGCACAGCUCAACUCCCCAGGGACAGAAGCUUCUCUGCCCAGGAUCUUCCCAGACCUUGCCCUCUGUAUCUUUUCAUCUGCCUGUUCAUUUGCAUCCUUUGAAAUAUCCUAAUAAGUUGGGUGCGGUGGCUCAAGCCUGUAAUCCCAGCACUUUGGAAGGCUGAGAAAGGUAGAUCACUUGAGGUCAGGAGUUCAAGACCAGCCUGACCAACAUGGUGAAAUCCUGUCUGUACUAAAAAUAUAAAAAUUAGCCAGGUGUGGUGGUUCAUGCCUGUAAUCCCAGCUACUUGGGAGGCUGAGGCACAAGAAUCGCUUGAACCCAGGAGGCAGAGGUUGUACUGAGCUGAGAUUGUACCACUGCACUCCGGCAUGGGCAAUGCAGCAAGACUGUUUCCAAAAAAAAAAAAAUCCUAAUAAAUCCGCAAUAGUAAGUGAAUUGUUUUCUUGGGUUCUGUGGGCUACUCUAGCAAAUUAUUGAACCUAAGAAUGUGGUUCCUCUGAUUUACAGAGGAAGAACCUCUGAUUUAUGGCCAUGUCAAACAGAAGCUGUGGGUAACCUGGGGACCUCCUACCUGCAACUAGUGUCUGAAGUGAGGGACAGUCUUGUGGGACUGAGCUUUUUUUUUUUUUGAGACAGAG
rnacentral:lncRNA from 10 species